rnacentral:rRNA from 1 species
CCCUUAGAUGUUCUGGGCCGCACACGCGCUACACUGAAGGAGGCAGCGUGUACUCCUGGAUCGAAAGAUUUGGGUAACCCGCCAAUCUCCUUCGUGCUAGGGAUUGAGGUUUGCAAUUAUCCUUCAUGAACGAGGAAUUCCCAGUAAGUGCAAGUCAUAAGCUUGCGCUGACUACGUCCCUGCCCUUUGUACACACCGCCCGUCGCUACUACCGAUUGAAUGAUUUAGUGAGGACUUCGGACUGGGACCGAUGCGGCUUUCGGGCUGCGUCGGUAUUCUGGAAAGAUGUCCAAACUGUAUCAUUUAGAGGAAGUAAAANUCGUAACA